rnacentral:rRNA from 1 species
UCCUGGCUCAGGACGAACGCUGGCGGCACGCUUAACACAUGCAAGUCGAACGAGAGAAGAGAAGCUUGCUUUUCUGAUCUAGUGGCGGACGGGUGAGUAACACGUGAGCAAUCUGCCUUUCAGAGGGGGAUACCGAUUGGAAACGAUCGUUAAUACCGCAUAACAUAAUUGAACCGCAUGAUUUGAUUAUCAAAGAUUUAUCGCUGAAAGAUGAGCUCGCGUCUGAUUAGCUAGUUGGUAAGGUAACGGCUUACCAAGGCGACGAUCAGUAGCCGGACUGAGAGGUUGAUCGGCCACAUUGGGACUGAGACACGGCCCAGACUCCUACGGGAGGCAGCAGUGGGGAAUAUUGCACAAUGGAGGAAACUCUGAUGCAGCGAUGCCGCGUGAGGGAAGAAGGUUUUAGGAUUGUAAACCUCUGUCUUCAGGGACGAAAAAAGACGGUACCUGAGGAGGAAGCUCCGGCUAACUACGUGCCAGCAGCCGCGGUAAUACGUAGGGAGCGAGCGUUGUCCGGAAUUACUGGGUGUAAAGGGAGCGUAGGCGGGAUCGCAAGUCAGAUGUGAAAACUAUGGGCUUAACCCAUAAACUGCAUUUGAAACUGUGGUUCUUGAGUGAAGUAGAGGUAAGCGGAAUUCCUAGUGUAGCGGUGAAAUGCGUAGAUAUUAGGAGGAACAUCAGUGGCGAAGGCGGCUUACUGGGCUUUAACUGACGCUGAGGCUCGAAAGCGUGGGGAGCAAACAGGAUUAGAUACCCUGGUAGUCCACGCCGUAAACGAUGAUUACUAGGUGUGGGGGGACUGACCCCUUCCGUGCCGCAGCAAACGCAAUAAGUAAUCCACCUGGGGAGUACGACCGCAAGGUUGAAACUCAAAGGAAUUGACGGGGGCCCGCACAAGCAGUGGAGUAUGUGGAUUAAUUCGAAGCAACGCGAAGAACCUUACCAGGUCUUGACAUCGUAUGCAUAGCUCAGAGAUGAGUGAAAUCUCUUCGGAGACAUAUAGACAGGUGGUGCAUGGUUGUCGUCAGCUCGUGUCGUGAGAUGUUGGGUUAAGUCCCGCAACGAGCGCAACCCUUACUGUUAGUUGCUACGCAAGAGCACUCUAGCAGGACUGCCGUUGACAAAACGGAGGAAGGUGGGGAUGACGUCAAAUCAUCAUGCCCUUUAUGACCUGGGCCUCACACGUACUACAAUGGCUGUCAACAGAGGGAAGCAAAGCCGCGAGGUGGAGCAAACCCCUAAAAGCAGUCUUAGUUCGGAUUGUAGGCUGCAACCCGCCUACAUGAAGUCGGAAUUGCUAGUAAUCGCAGAUCAGCAUGCUGCGGUGAAUACGUUCCCGGGCCU